AAUAAUUAAUUUCUGGUUCUUUGCUUGCUAAACUAUCUGAAGCAGAGUUUGAUAUUUGCGCAGUAUUGUGCACAGAUACAAAGAAAAAUACUUAAAUCCUUUUCUGAACAACGUGCUUCAUUGUACAGAUCCGGCUUAAGUACAAUCUUUAUCAAAACCUCAGCGUGACAUGUAUUUGUAUGUAUACCACAAAUAAAAAAAUAAGUAAGUAAAAAUGUAUAAUAAAUGAGCAUUCAAUUGUCUAUAAAUAUUUCACAACAAAGAAAAUAAAUUAGUCCACUUGUUCCACUAUCUCGGUUUCCCACACGUGACUGUUGUGUUUUUAAUGAUAACAAAAAGUCACUUUUAUAAAUAGAGUUAGAGGAAAAUAUUCAAUAUACAAUCAUUGGUAGUCGAGAUCUAAACGUCGUUGAAUUAUUUGGUAGAUUGCCCCUAUUUUAGUUUCUUUUUUUUUGGAACGUCACAGGGGCAUUGACCAAAUAUUCAGCGAUGUUGCCAGGAAGUUAAUUCAAAUUUCCGGCAUGGUACCAUCGUACAGCGAGUCAGAUAAC
rnacentral:misc_RNA from 1 species